CGCUGUGUCGUGCUAGAUCUAUA
rnacentral:miRNA from 15 species